UUCUCUCUUUAUCGGGCAGUGUACAUGCCGCUCUCUCUCUCAUUCUCACAUUCGUUGUCGCCUCAGCUGCUUCAUCGUGGCGCUGCAGGAGAUGAGGGAGCCCAAAAGCCUCACAUAACGUGAACAAGGAGCAUGAAGAGGUUCUACGCUCCAAACCCUCUAUCCUUGCCCUCAGCGAUGAGCUCGAUAAGCUCCGGCAACCUCUCGCCACCGCUCUCUCCAAAGAGCUCCAAAUCAACGGCACAUCUUCUUAAAACCCUCACCAUGAGACUGAGACCGAAAACGAAACCUUAGUUGAGAGCUCUGACUCGAUUGAGCCGAACUCGAACUCGAGGAACGACAUCGUUGUGGAGGACCUGCUUAAUUUUCUCUAUUUUGGUUCAUUUUUCGAUGUGAAGAGUGACUUUGUGUCCAUGAUGCUUACCAAAACGCAUGAGCGUGGCUGCUGCUUGACCUAUGACUACGUCACCAACGACGCCACCGAUCUGCUCGGCGAGAAGGACUUGGACUCGAUCUCUAGACUAAGAGGGUUGCUCGUUUCGCGGCCCGCGGAUUCGAGCUUUUCACACAAGAACGCGCUGCACCGCUGCGUGGAACAUGCCAAGCUGUGGCUUGCUAAGUCGGAGCAGCCCAUUGGGCCUAAUGCUGAUGUUACUUAUGCUGCAUUAAGGGAGAAGUUGAACAAUAUUAUGUCUUCGGAGUACUUUACUACCACACCUGAGAUGAAGGCUCCGGUUGAAGUUGAUGUGGCGGCUGCUGGGGGCAAUUACGUUUCCUUCCAUGUGCCGGUGCAUGGGUUUGUGGUUCCGGUUGAAGUGGAGCAGCCUGUUUUUCAAUCUCAGGAGAAGGUAAGAGUGUGUUUGUAAUUUGAAUGUUUGUUGGAUAGAAUGUUGUUGGGAAGAAAGCUUGCUUGAUGAUGCUAUUGCAGACUUCAUUAUCAAUCUUCUCUUUGCGGGAAAUGAAACAACCACCAAAACAAUGCUCUUUGCAGUCUAUUUCCUUACUCAAUGUCCUAGAGCCAUGAAGCAACUGCUGUUUUUCUCUUGGACAGGAUGAACAUGAUUGCUUUGUGGUUCCAUUUCUUUCAGCAGUCCAUUUAGAUGAGAAUGUAUACAGUGGAGCUCUAAAUAUUAAUCCUUGGAGAUGGAUGGAACCUGAAAACGAGGAAAAGAGAAAUUGGAGAACUAGUCCAUUCUAUGCACCCUUUGGAGGAGGGGCUAGAUUCUAUCCAGGAGCAGAGUUGGCUUGCCUAUAAAUUGCUUUUUUUUCUUCAUUACUUCGUAACUACCUACAGAAUUUCAAGAGGACGUCUUGCACAACUGUGCUUACUCUAGCUUACCAAAGUCUUGGAGUAGUAUAUGGUGACCUCAGUAGUGCCCUUAUUUAUGUUUACAAGACCACAUUCUCAGGGAAAUUAAGCCUCAAAGAAGACAAUGAAGGAAUUUUUGGGGUGCUUUCAUUUAUCUUCUGGACAUUUACCAUUAUUGGUCUCUUCAAAUAUGUUUUCAUUGUGAUGUCUACUGAUGACAAUGGGGAAGGUAGAAUCUCACUACUUGAUUCUUGUGUUUUAGAUUAUUAUGGAAUGUGUCUAUCCAGCUCCAUCCUUUCAAGUCUUAAGGCUACUAUUUGGCACUUCCUUCCAGUGAAGCCAAGCCAAUGAUAACUAUUUGGGAAGGAUGCACAACUUUGUAAUCACAGUGUUUCCCAGGAAAAAAAAUCACUCCACUAACUUUUGGAUAUUUGUCUGUCAUGCAUGUCACAUGAAAUCACAGAAUGACAAAAGCAUAGUCUAUAACUAUGCUACUAUGGUGAUAUUUUUAGACUUAUGAGUUAGUAAGGUGAGUUGAUAUGUUAAGGUCAUAAAAUCAAUUCUAUUGCUCAUGCUUUGCCAUUUUGUGACAGAGACACCCGCCUGCACCUUUGGCAGGGGAGGGUGUUGCUUGCCUAGUUGCCUUCCUGUGUUAUUGGUUUAUUCAUGGACAACAUUCUCAAUUUAUUAUUUGGGAUUUUCUUAAAUAAAUUAGGAAGCAUUGUCAUUUAACUGCUAUGUUAUUUCUAAAUAUCUAAUUUUCAUUUAAGAAAAAGACAGAGAUCUUGGCUAAAGCUAGAAAUCUGCUUCUAGAAUGUGACUUUUCAAUUCCUCAAGAGUAUACAAGGGAUGGUUCUGUUUGGAAGAGUGAUGAAACUUCUGCCGAGUUAUCUAGCCAUGUGGUAGAUUUGCUUUUCUUAUCAGAGAGGUUUCUAGUAUUCAAAGCAGCCAGGAGCUAGUUCAUCAGACAUUGAAGGUAUACAAUCUAGAAUAAUCAAAAUAUUUUACACUAUGCAGCAUAUUUUAUUUGAAAUACAAACUGUGGACUAUAUAUAUAUAUACUGUUUCAAUCAGUAGAUGUAUGCUAGUUUUACCAGGUCUAAAGUUUGCGUAAAUCAAUUUUAUUUCUUGCUUAUGUUCUUCUAAUUUGCCUAAUUUCGUGAUUUUAUGUUCUAUGCAUCUAAUACACAAGUAAUAAAACAAAUUAAAUUAUUUAUAUCACUAUUGUAAAAAGUAAUAAAUAGGUAGUGAAAAGAAAAAGAAAAGCUGCCCCUUUCACUGUUGAAAGCAACAAAUGCUAGCUGUCUCAACGUGGAGAGAAAACUUAAGUUGAAAAAUUGGUUCCAAAAAGGUCACUAGUUACUCUAGAUUCUUUUAACUAAUUUAUAUCUUUUUAAAAAAAUAAUUAAUUUAAUUAAUUAUAUUAAAUUUUUUGGUUAUUUAUAU